rnacentral:rRNA from 1 species
AAACUGCUGUCUUGAGUGAGUAGAGGUAAGCGGAAUCCUGGUGUAGCGGUGAAAUGCGUAGAGAUCAGGAGGAACAUCGGUGGCGAAGGCGGCUUACUGGGCUUUUACUGACGCUGAGGCUCGAAAGCGUGGGGAGCAAACAGGAUUAGAUACCCUGGUAGUCCACGCUGUAAACGAUGAUUACUAGGUGUGGGGGGAUUGACCCCUUCCGUGCCGCAGUUAACACAAUAAGUAAUCCACCUGGGGAGUACGACCGCAAGGUUGAAACUCAAAGGAAUUGACGGGGGCCCGCACAAGCAGUGGAGUAUGUGGUUUAAUUCGAAGCAACGCGAAGAACCUUACCAGGUCUUGACAUCGAGUGACGUAUCCAGAGAUGGAUAUUUCCUUCGGGACACAAAGACAGGUGGUGCAUGGUUGUCGUCAGCUCGUGUCGUGAGAUGUUGGGUUAAGUCCCGCAACGAGCGCAACCCUUAUCAUUAGUUGCUACGCAAGAGCACUCUAAUGAGACUGCCGUUGACAAAACGGAGGAAGGUGGGGAUGACGUCAAAUCAUCAUGCCCCUUAUGACCUGGGCUACACACGUACUACAAUGGCGAUCGAACAGAGGGAAGCAAGACAGCGAUGUGGAGCCAAUCCCAAAAAAUCGCCCCAGUUCAGAUUGCAGGCUGCAACUCGCCUGCAUGAAGUCGGAAUUGCUAGUAAUCGCAGAUCAGCAUGCUGCGGUGAAUACGUUCCCGGGCCUUGUACACACCGCCCGUCACACCAUGGGAGUCGGUAACACCCAAAGCCGGUCGUCUAACCUUCGGGAGGACGCCGUCUAAGGUGGGAUUGAUGACUGGGGUGAAGUCGUCACAAGGUAACCGUAUCG